GAUGAACGCUGGCGGCGUGCCUAAUACAUGCAAGUCGAGCGAACGGACGAGAAGCUUGCUGCGCUGAUGUUAGCGGCGGACGGGUGAGUAACACGUGGAUAACCUACCUAUAUGACUGGUAUAACUUCGGGAAACCGGAGCUUAUACCGGAGAAUAUUUUGAACUGCAUGGUUCAAUAGUGAAAUACGGUCGUGCUGGCACGUAUAGAUGCAUCCGCGCUGCAUUAGCUGGUUGGUACGGUAACAGCUUACCAAGGGUACGAUGCCUAGCCGACCUGAGAGGGUGGUCGCCCACCCUGGAACUGGGACACGGACCAGACUACUACGGGACGCAGCAGUCGGGUACCGUCCGCAACGGGCGAAAGCAUGACGGAGCAGCGCCGCGUGAGUGAUGAAGGCCCUCCGAUCGUAAUACUCUGUUAUUAGUGAAGAACAUAUUUGUACUUAACUGUGCACAUCUUGACGGUACCUAAUCAGAAAGCCCCGGCUAACUACGUG
rnacentral:rRNA from 1 species